rnacentral:rRNA from 1 species
GACGAACGCUGGCGGCGUGCUUAACACAUGCAAGUCGAACGGAAAGGCCCUGCUUUUGUGGGGUGCUCGAGUGGCGAACGGGUGAGUAACACGUGAGUCACCUGCCCUUGACUUUGGGAUAACUUCAGGAAACUGGGGCUAAUGCCGGAUAGGAGCUCCUGCUGCAUGGUGGGGGUUGGAAAGCUUCGGCGGUUGGGGAUGGACUCGCGGCUUAUCAGCUUGUUGGUGGGGUAGUGGCUUACCAAGGCUUUGACGGGUAGCCGGCCUGAGAGGGUGACCGGCCACAUUGGGACUGAGAUACGGCCCAGACUCCUACGGGAGGCAGCAGUGGGGAAUAUUGCACAAUGGGCGGAAGCCUGAUGCAGCAACGCCGCGUGCGGGAUGACGGCCUUCGGGUUGUAAACCGCUUUCGCCUGUGACGAAGCGUGAGUGACGGUAAUGGGUAAAGAAGCACCGGCUAACUACGUG